rnacentral:rRNA from 1 species
AACAAAAACAUGUCUUUUUGAAUUAAAUUUAAAGUCUAACCUGCCCNCUGAAAUUUUUUAAAUGGCCGCAGUAUUCUAACUGUGCAAAGGUAGCAUAAUCAUUAGUCUUUUAAUUGAAGGCUGGAAUGAAUGGUUGGACGAAAUAUUAACUGUUUCAUUUAAAUUUUUAUAGAAUUUUAUUUUUUAGUCAAAAAGCUAAAAUUUAUUUAAAAGACGAGAAGACCCUAUAAAUCUUUAUAUUUUGUUUGUUUUAAUUAUAAAGAUUAUUUGUGUUAUAACAAAUUAAAAUAUUUUAUUGGGGUGAUAUUAAAAUUUAAAAAACUUUUAAUUUUUAAAACCAUUAAUUUAUGUAUAAUUGAUCCAUUAAUAAUGAUUAAAAAUUUAAGUUACUUUAGGGAUAACAGCGUAAUUUUUUUGGAGAGUUCAUAUCGAUAAAAAAGAUUGCGACCUCGAUGUUGGAUUAAGAAAUAAUUUUGGGUGUAGCCGUUCAAAUUUUAAGUCUGUUCGACUUUUAAAUUCUUACGUGAUCUGAGUUCAAACCGGA